rnacentral:rRNA from 1 species
GAUGAACGCUAGCGGCAGGCUUAAUACAUGCAAGUCGAACGGUAACAGGUCUUCGGACGCUGACGAGUGGCGCACGGGUGAGGAACACGUACACAAUCUACCUUAUACUGGAGAAUAGCCCCGGGAAACUGGGAUUAAUACUCCAUAGUCUUUAAUGAUCACAUGAGAAAUAAAGUAAAGCUUCGGCGGUAUAAGAUGAGUGUGCGUCCCAUUAGAUUGUUGGUGAGGUAACGGCUCACCAAGUCGACGAUGGGUAGCUGGCGUGAGAGCGCGACCAGCCACACUGGCACUGAGACACGGGCCAGACUCCUACGGGAGGCAGCAGUAGGGAGUAUUGGUCAAUGGACGAAAGUCUGAACCAGCCAUGCCGCGUGGAGGAUGACUGCCCUCUGGGUUGUAAAUAUCUUUUAUCUGGGAAGAAACUCCUCUAUUCUUAGAGGCCUGACGGUACCAGAGGAAUAAGCACCGGCUAACUCCGUGCCAG